ACUUGUAGUCCUCUUUCCGCCUGAGCGCUGAGAGUGCGCUUUGGCGACUGCAAAACGGAGGGAUUAUUAGACAUGUUGGGCAUAAAGCGAUCUUCUUCAGGGUUUCAAGACGUUUUCUUGUUUGUAAAAAGAGGAAUUGGGGUGCGAGAAGUGUCCACUUAACUACAACUCCCAGCAUCCCCAGCAGGUUUGGGUGACGCACUUCCGGCAGCUGGCCUGUGUGGGAGAGGAGGCUCUUGGCCUUCACAAGAAACAGGGCAAGAGGGUCGUUAACCUUCUGGCGCCGCUGGAGCCUGGUCAGCCAUCCAGGGUCGCCUUCCUUUGGUCCUGCCCUUGAGAAGGAGGCUGAGUCAAACUUAGCUCCUCGUGGUCGCCUAGGCAGCAAUGUCUACCGCGGGGAUUGCUGGGCGGCCCUUUGGUAGUUCUCUAAGUUUCCUGGGAGUAUUGCUGUAAGCAGAAUGGAGACCAAAAGAAAUUCUGAAAAGGGAACAGAUAAGAAAAGAAAAGUAAUGAUGAACAAGUGUUAGGAAAAUGCAUGGUAGAAACAAGGUUUGAGCAAAGUUUGGGAUAGACACAAUCUCUCAUUUGAUAAAUAAGGAGUAUCCACUGAGUACCAGGCAUUGUUCUAGACUUUGAGGAUUCAGCAAGGAACAAGGAAGACAAGGUUUGGAUUCCCAAGGAAUUUAUUAGCAAUUGCUUAAUUAAC